UGGAUGCUAAUAAUGCUUCGAGCAACGAAGAAUAGUUGAGGUUAGGAGCAAUAUGUUCUUGUGUUUCCAUAUUCAAUUUGCAAGAUGUGUUUUUAUCUCUAGUAUAAUUUGUUGUUCAAUCUUUCUGUUCUUCAAUUAUGUUUUGUGCAUUCUUUCUUUUAUGUUGGGUUGACACUUUCAUAUCAGAUAUGAAAUUUAGUGAUAAAAGUAGCACAAAAUGUCUCUUCUAUUUUCUUGUUCGUGCUUUGAAUUAUUUUGGCUGCAUGCUACAGGUUCAAACUGGAUGCUACAUGGAGGCAUGGAGGGGUGGUCGACUGUGUGCUUUGUGUUGGUACAAAAUAGCCUACUUUUUUUUGUUUGCUGGCUUUCUGCUGACUACUUGACCAACUUGCUUGGUCAUAUACUGCUGUGUGAGACCAUGUCUUGGUCAAAACUUAGUAUACUCUUAUAUUCAUGCUUGGUAAUUCGGUCAGCUGCGACACCACGUGCUUGUUUGGAAAACAUUUUAUACUUUGGUCAACAACAGUUCAGAAUUGAGAUAUAAGCAGCUUGUUUGGAACCUUAUUUUGUAUACUUUGGUUAACAAUUCAGAAUUGGC
rnacentral:lncRNA from 1 species